rnacentral:rRNA from 1 species
UAAGACGAACCGUGCGAACGUUGUUCGGAAUCACUGGGCUUAAAGGGCGCGUAGGCGGGCAAGCAAGUCUGGGGUGAAAUCUUUCGGCUUAACCGGAAAAGUGCCUUGGAUACUGCAUGUCUCGAGGGAGGUAGGGGCAGAUGGAACUUCCGGUGGAGCGGUGAAAUGCGUUGAUAUCGGAAGGAACGCCGGUGGCGAAAGCGAUCUGCUGGACCUCUUCUGACGCUGAGGCGCGAAAGCUAGGGGAGCAAACGGGAUUAGAUACCCCGGUAGUCCUAGCCCUAAACGAUGGGUACUAGGUAGCGGACUUAACAUGGGUUCGCUGCCGAAGCAAAAGUGUUAAGUACCCCGCCUGGGGAGUAUGGUCGCAAGGCUG